GACGAACGCUGGCGGCGUGCCUAAUACAUGCAAGUAGAACGCACAGUUUAUACCGUAGCUUGCUACACCAUAGACUGUGAGUUGCGAACGGGUGAGUAACGCGUAGGUAACCUGCCUGGUAGCGGGGGAUAACUAUUGGAAACGAUAGCUAAUACCGCAUAAUAUUGAUUAUUGCAUGAUAAUUGAUUGAAAGAUGCUAUUGCAUCACUACCAGAUGGACCUGCGUUGUAUUAGCUAGUAGGUGAGGUAACGGCUCACCUAGGUGACGAUACAUAGCCGACCUGAGAGGGUGAUCGGCCACACUGGGACUGAGACACGGCCCAGACUCCUACGGGAGGCAGCAGUAGGGAAUCUUCGGCAAUGGACGAAAGUCUGACCGAGCAACGCCGCGGGAGUGAAGAAGGUUGUCGGAUCGUAAAGCUCGGUUGUAAGAGAAGAACGGGUGUGAGAGUGGAAAGUUCACACUGUGACGGUAUCUUACCAGAAAGGGACGGCUAACUACGUG
rnacentral:rRNA from 1 species